rnacentral:rRNA from 1 species
AUUGAACGCUGGCGGCAGGCCUAACACAUGCAAGUCGAACGGUAACAGGAAGAAGCUUGCUUCUUUGCUGACGAGUGGCGGACGGGUGAGUAAUGUCUGGGAAACUGCCUGAUGGCGGGGGAUAACUACUGGAAACGGUAGCUAAUACCGCAUAACGUCGCAAGACCAAAAAGGGGGACCUUCGGGCCUCUUGCCAUCGGAUGUGCCCAGAUGGGAUUAGCUAGUAGGUGGGGUAACGGCUCACCUAGGCGACGAUCCCUAGCUGGUCUGAGAGGAUGACCAGCCACACUGGAACUGAGACACGGUCCAGACUCCUACGGGAGGCAGCAGUGGGGAAUAUUGCACAAUGGGCGCAAGCCUGAUGCAGCCAUGCCGCGUGUAUGAAGAAGGCCUUCGGGUUGUAAAGUACUUUCAGCGGGGAGGAAGGAAGGAAAGUUAAUACCUUUGCUCAUUGACGUUACCCGCAGAAGAAGCACCGGCUAACUCCGUG